AUACGUAGGGGGCGAGCGUUGUCCGGAAUGAUUGGGCGUAAAGGGCGCGUAGGCGGCUUUGCAAGUCAGUAGUGGAAGUCCAUUUUUCAAGGAUGGAAGUGCUACAGAAACUGCGGAGCUUGAGUGCAGGAGAGGUUAUCGGAAUUCCCGGUGUAGCGGUGAAAUGCGUAGAGAUCGGGAGGAACACCAGUGGCGAAGGCGGGUAACUGGACUGCAACUGACGCUGAGGCGCGAAAGUGUUGGGAGCAAACAGGAUUAGAUACCCUGGUAGUCCACACUGUAAACGAUGAAUGCUAGGUGUAGGAGGUAUCGACCCCUUCUGUGCCGCAGUAAACACAGUAAGCAUUCCGCCUGGGGAGUACGGUCGCAAGAUUAAAACUCAAAUGAAUUGACGGG
rnacentral:rRNA from 1 species